GGGGGUGACCUGGUUUCGACGCAGGUAUUGAAGCAGCACAGGGCAUGCCGAGGACCAGAGCCCUCGUAAAUCCAUCUGGAAACACUUUAGACGCCAACGACGAGCGUUUCGCUCUCGCCGCCUAAUACCGGCGAGACGCUGCACUAACCUGCUGGCGGGUUAGGCCUCGAAAGAGGUGCAGCGUCAUUUUCACCAGCCUCUCUCCGGGAUUUGGCCGCUUGGCCCCGGGGAUCCGUCGAAGCGGCUAGCCGCGGAUCAGCCUGCCGGUUGGCGGGUCCAAAGCGAAGCUCAAACAACCAGGCUAAGCAUGUAGUCCUGACUGUGGAUGACUUGCGGACGCGAGUUCGAUUCUCGCCACCUCCACCA
rnacentral:tmRNA from 1 species